rnacentral:rRNA from 1 species
UACGGAGGGUGCAAGCGUUGUCCGGAUUUAUUGGGUUUAAAGGGUGCGUAGGCGGCUUUAUAAGUCAGUGGUGAAAUACUGCAGCUCAACUGUAGAAUUGCCAUUGAUACUGUAGAGCUUGAGUACAGAUGAGGUAGGCGGAAUUGAUGGUGUAGCGGUGAAAUGCAUAGAUACCAUCAAGAACACCGAUUGCGAAGGCAGCUUACUAAGCUGAAACUGACGCUGAGGCACGAAAGUGUGGGGAUCGAACAGG